rnacentral:rRNA from 1 species
GACGAACGCUGGCGGCGUGCUUAACACAUGCAAGUCGAACGGAAAGGCCCUGCUUUUGUGGGGUGCUCGAGUGGCGAACGGGUGAGUAACACGUGAGUAACCUGCCCUUGACUUUGGGAUAACUUCAGGAAACUGGGGCUAAUACCGGAUAGGAGCUCCUGCUGCAUGGUGGGGGUUGGAAAGUUUCGGCGGUUGGGGAUGGACUCGCGGCUUAUCAGCUUGUUGGUGGGGUAGUGGCUUACCAAGGCUUUGACGGGUAGCCGGCCUGAGAGGGUGACCGGCGACAUUGGGACUGAGGUACGGCCCAGAGUCCUACGGGGGGCAGCAGUGGGGAAUAUUGCACAAUGGGCGGAAGCCUGAUGCAGCAACGCCGCGUGCGGGAUGACGGCCUUCGGGUUGUAAACCGCUUUCGCCUGUGACGAAGCGUGAGUGACGGUAAUGGGUAAAGAAGCACCGGCUAACUACGCG